GACGAACGCUGGCGGCGUGCUUAACACAUGCAAGUCGAACGGAAAGGCCUGCUUUCCCUUGUGGAUUGCGGGUACUCGAGUGGCGAACGGGUGAGUAACACGUGAGUGAUCUGCCCCCAACUUGGGUAUAAGCCUGGGAAACUGGGUCUAAUUCCCGAUAGGACUGCAGGGUGGUGCCUGUGGUGGAAAACGAUUUUCUAGUGGUUGGGGAUGAGCUCGCGGCCUAUCAGCUUGUUGGUGGGGUAAUGGCCUACCAAGGCGGCGACGGGUAGCCGGCCUGAGAGGGCGGACGGACACAUUGGGACUGAGAUACGGCCCAGACUCCUACGGGAGGCAGCAGUGGGGAAUAUUGCACAAUGGGCGGAAGCCUGAUGCAGCGACGCCGCGUGGGGGAUGACGGCCUUCGGGUUGUAAACUCCUUUCGACCGCGAGGAAGCCACCUGGUUGGAAGGGUGGUGACGGUAGUGGUAGAAGAAGCACCGGCUAACUACGUG
rnacentral:rRNA from 1 species